CGCAUGAUUCGAUUACAGGGAAGAAGCGGAACACGGACACGCAUGCAGCUGCUGAAAACAACAGAAACGACCAUAUUGCAGCGGCAAACUCUUCGAAAGGUGGUAAAGGCGCUUAUUCUCUCCCCCGGCACUGGCCGCCGUUGCUUCAGCUCACUACUCAGCUUGCAGAUUGUAACUUAGGCGUUGCUCCUGAAGGAGCCCAGGGCCUUGAUGGCGCCGGCCCUGAGGAUGUACUGGUGGUAGAAGGCCGCGAUCGCCGCGCCGACCAUUGGGCCGACCC
rnacentral:lncRNA from 1 species